UGCAGCGACGCCGCGUGGGGGAUGACGGCCUUCGGGUUGUAAACCUCUUUCACCAUCGACGAAGGUCCGGGUUUUCUCGGAUUGACGGUAGGUGGAGAAGAAGCACCGGCCAACUACGUGCCAGCAGCCGCGGUAAUACGUAGGGUGCGAGCGUUGUCCGGAAUUACUGGGCGUAAAGAGCUCGUAGGUGGUUUGUCGCGUUGUUCGUGAAAUCUCACGGCUUAACUGUGAGCGUGCGGGCGAUACGGGCAGACUGGAGUACUGCAGGGGAGACUGGAAUUCCUGGUGUAGCGGUGGAAUGCGCAGAUAUCAGGAGGAACACCGGUGGCGAAGGCGGGUCUCUGGGCAGUAACUGACGCUGAGGAGCGAAAGCGUGGGGAGCGAACAGGAUUAGAUACCCUGGUAGUCCACGCCGUAAACGGUGGGUACUAGGUGUGGGUUUCCUUCCUUGGGAUCCGUGCCGUAGCUAACG
rnacentral:rRNA from 1 species